CGAUCAAUGCAGGUAACGCGUCUGUCUGUGGUUUACCUGUCAUCUACGUACCUGUGAAUCAUACUCAUGUCACGAAAUACAGUGCAAUAUACAUAAUUUGACAAAAUGGACGAUAUUUUAGUUGCUUUUACUGUUUUAAUUCUUAGUUUAACCCAAUGUGUUCUCGGAGGCAAGCCAGACUACUGCAAUACACAAGGGGGCGUGGUCAAAUAUUGCGAAUACGGCUGCUGUGAUGACAGACUUAACUACGAAAAAUGCUGUGCUCAUAUAAAUGUUGCACUGGUGAUCGGAGCAGUUGUCGGGACAUUGGUAUUUAUUGCUAUUUUAGCUGGCGUCGUUGCGUAUUGCUUCAUCUGUAAGCGAAACAAGGAUACCUCGGAUGGAGGUCUGGUUUAGAACUAUGAGCCGUAAGUGAAAUACACAGUCUCAUCUGGAGAAGAACCCUAGCGUCUUAAUGACGACUCGACAACGAAGAAAUGGCAACAUCCGUCCUUUUUAUCCUAAUCUUCUCAAAUCGGUGAGAAGGUUUUCUGACUCUCCCAGUGAGUUGGAGCUAGUAGGGGUUUCAAAUUGUAUAAGCUUAAUAUUAUUGACACAUUCACAUUUGAUGGAUUUUUAGAAUCCCAUUUAUGAUAAACGGACGGACACAGCUUAUGUAUACAUGUGUUUAUAUGAUAUGACAGUUGUUUUGUAUUUUUAUUAUACAUGUGUUUAUAUGAUAUGGCAGUUGUUUUGUAUUUUUAACAUUUUUUAUAUUUAUAUACAUUUGAAACAAACUAAUAAAUUGUUAUAAAGUUCAGAUUAUAUAAAGCAUCGUUAGUUUGCAUGACACGGCACAACCUUUAUCUUUGUGUUUUCAUCUUAGAUAUUGUAUAUUAAAUAUUCGUGUAAAUACUAUAUAUAUAAAAAGUGUAAAUUG